rnacentral:rRNA from 1 species
GACGAACGCUGGCGGCGUGCUUAACACAUGCAAGUCGAACGGAAAGGCCCUGCUUUUGUGGGGUGAUCGAGUGGCGAACGGGUGAGUAACACGUGAGUAACCUGCCCUUGACUUUGGGAUAACUUCAGGAAACUGGGGCUAAUACCGGAUAGGAGCUCCUUCUGCAUGGUGGGGGUUGGAAAGUUUCGGCUGUUGGGGAUGGACUCGCGGCUUAUCAGCUUGUUGGUGGGGUAGUGGCUUACCAAGGCUUUGACGGGUAGCCGGCCUGAGAGGGUGACCGGCCACAUUGGGACUGAGAUACGGCCCAGACUCCUACGGGAGGCAGCAGUGGGGAAUAUUGCACAAUGGGCGGAAGCCUGAUGCAGCAACGCCGCGUGCGGGAUGACGGCCUUCGGGUUGUAAACCGCUUUCGCAUGUGACGAAGCGUGAGUGACGGUAAUGGGUAAAGAAGCACCGGCUAACUACGUG